UGUCCGAAGGCCGACCCUGCGGAGGGG
rnacentral:sRNA from 1 species